ensembl:lincRNA
AUGCACUUCAUCUGCUUACAUGGCCUACAGUUCCCUAAGAGGAAGCUCACAAUUUCUAUCCCAGCCAAAGAGAAGGAUGAGUGGGUCCACUCUGCCACUGGGAAGAAGAGGAGGAAAAAGAAGGAGGCAUAUUUUAAUUACAUGGGGAAACUCUUAAAGCAAGGCCACCCAGACUUCAGUGGGUGCUCCUGGAUCUUGGAUGCCCUGAGAGCGCUGGAGGAUUGGCAGCUGGAAUGGGUUAGCCUGGAGGCGGUCAGACUGUCCCUCUACAACCACAGAAGAACCGUCACCAGCAGAGAGAUCCUCGAGGCAGUCCAGCAGAGAUGCUCUCAGAAGACCUUGGGAAUAAAUGAAGUGGCUCUCCAUGGCUCUGUUGUUGAAAUGAUUGCACUUGUCCAAAAACAAAAAAUUGGGUCUUUUGGAGGGUUGAGUUGAAAGACAAAGUAUCUGAGAAGUACCUGCUGAAGCAGGGGUCUUGGUGUGACACACUUGGUCUCUGAUCUCAUGGUUUUAGCCCCUGAUUUAAGCUGUGGAAAAAAUAAUAAAGGAAAGGCACUUGGUCUUGUGUGUGUGUGAUGCUUGUUUAUGGUUAAAAAUUUUUUUCUCCACUGCUUUGAGUUUAGUUAUUGUAUUUUUGGACACAAUUCAACCUAUCACGUUCUGGACUCACCCUUGCUCCCUCUUCUCCAACUCCGGGCGUGGGGAUGGGGGUGCUGCUGCAUUGAUAGGAACUGAGAUAUUGUUUUCUUAAUGUAAGCACCUGUACUUUGACUUAUGGAAACUCAAAUAUAGAGGAAAAAGGAGUCUGUUUGCUCUUUGAAUAUAAGACUCAUGACGUUGGUUAUCUAUGUAGCACCUAGAAUACCAACAUACGUAAUGUGUGGUUUGGAGUAAGAAAUGGCAACCCACUUUAGUAUUCUUUUAACUUCAUGCAGCCAUGACAUUAAAAGACUCUCACUCAUUGGAAGAAAAGCUAUGACAAACAUAGACAGUGUAUUAAAAUGCAUUGAUAUCACGUUGCUGACAGAUCCUUACAGUCAAAGCUGUGGUUUUUCCAGUAUUUAUGUAUGGAUGUGAGAGUUGGACCAUAAAGAAGGCUGAGCAUUGAAGAAUUAAUGCUUUCGAAUUAUGGUGCUGGAGAAGACUCUGGAGAGUCCCUUGGAUUGCAAGGAGAUCAAAUCAGUCAAUCCUAAAGGAAAUAAACCCUGAAUAUUCAUUGGAAGUACUGAUGAUGAAGCUCCCAUACUUUGGCCACCUAAUGUGAAGAGCAGUUCAUUGGAAAAGACCCUGAUGCUGCAAAAGAUUGAGGGCAAGAGAAGAAGGGGGUGACAGAGAAUGAGGUGGUUGGAUCGCAUCACUGACUUCUCCAAUAUAGAGGGAGACAUUAACUCAGAAGAAUGUAGAAAAAGGUAAAGGACCAAGGACCUUGGGGGACGGAGGGGAAUGGGAUUCAGAGAAGAAAUAAAAGAAGAGAAGACGUGUACAAGUAUGGGAAGUUUAGAGAUUUGGGAUGAAAAAAAUGAGGAAAUAAGUACUUUUUUUUUUUUUUUUUAAUGAAACAAAUGAAAGUGGAGGAGGGGCAUGGGAAGUCUGCAGAUAAGAUAUGAGACUUACAUGCAGAUAAGUUGUUGAGACUUCCCUGCUGCAGUGGUUAGGGCUUUGCCUUCCAGUGUGAGGGGUGUGGGUUUGAUCCC